rnacentral:rRNA from 1 species
GAUGAACGCUAGCGGGAGGCCUAACACAUGCAAGCCGAGCGGUAGAGAUCUUUCGGGAUCUUGAGAGCGGCGUACGGGUGCGGAACACGUGUGCAACCUGCCUUUAUCUGGGGGAUAGCCUUUCGAAAGGAAGAUUAAUACCCCAUAAUAUGUUGGAUGGCAUCAUUCGACAUUGAAAACUCCGGUGGAUAGAGAUGGGCACGCGCAAGAUUAGAUAGUUGGUGAGGUAACGGCUCACCAAGUCUGCGAUCUUUAGGGGGCCUGAGAGGGUGAUCCCCCACACUGGUACUGAGACACGGACCAGACUCCUACGGGAGGCAGCAGUGAGGAAUAUUGGACAAUGGGUGAGAGCCUGAUCCAGCCAUCCCGCGUGAAGGACGACGGCCCUAUGGGUUGUAAACUUCUUUUGUAUAGGGAUAAACCUACUCUCGUGAGAGUAGCUGAAGGUACUAUACGAAUAAGCACCGGCUAACUCCGUGCCAGCAGCCGCGGUAAUACGGAGGGUGCAAGCGUUAUCCGGAUUUAUUGGGUUUAAAGGGUCCGUAGGCGGAUCUGUAAGUCAGUGGUGAAAUCUCACAGCUUAACUGUGAAACUGCCAUUGAUACUGCAGGUCUUGAGUGUUGUUGAAGUAGCUGGAAUAAGUAGUGUAGCGGUGAAAUGCAUAGAUAUUACUUAGAACACCAAUUGCGAAGGCAGGUUACUAAGCAACAACUGACGCUGAUGGACGAAAGCGUGGGGAGCGAACAGGAUUAGAUACCCUGGUAGUCCACGCCGUAAACGAUGCUAACUCGUUUUUGGGCUUUCGGGUUCAGAGACUAAGCGAAAGUGAUAAGUUAGCCACCUGGGGAGUACGAACGCAAGUUUGAAACUCAAAGGAAUUGACGGGGGCCCGCACAAGCGGUGGAUUAUGUGGUUUAAUUCGAUGAUACGCGAGGAACCUUACCAAGGCUUAAAUGGGAAAUGACAGGUUUAGAAAUAGACUUUUCUUCGGACAUUUUUCAAGGUGCUGCAUGGUUGUCGUCAGCUCGUGCCGUGAGGUGUUAGGUUAAGUCCUGCAACGAGCGCAACCCCUGUCACUAGUUGCCAUCAUUAAGUUGGGGACUCUAGUGAGACUGCCUACGCAAGUAGAGAGGAAGGUGGGGAUGACGUCAAAUCAUCACGGCCCUUACGCCUUGGGCCACACACGUAAUACAAUGGCCGGUACAGAGGGCAGCUACACAGCGAUGUGAUGCAAAUCUCGAAAGCCGGUCUCAGUUCGGAUUGGAGUCUGCAACUCGACUCUAUGAAGCUGGAAUCGCUAGUAAUCGCGCAUCAGCCGUGGCGCGGUGAAUACGUUCCCGGGCCU